rnacentral:rRNA from 1 species
ACGGAAUAGAUACCCUGGUAGUCCACGCCCUAAACGAUGUCAACUGGUUGUUGGGAAUUCAUUUUCUCAGUAAACGAAAGCUAAACGCGUGAAGUUGACCGCCUGGGGAGUACGGCCGCAAGGCUAAAACUCAAAGGAAUUGACGGGGACCCGCACAAGCGGUGGAUGAUGUGGUUUAAUUCGAUGCAACGCGAAAAACCUUACCCACCUUUGACAUGUACGGAACUUGCCAGAGAUGGCUUGGUGCCCGAAAGGGAGCCGUAACACAGGUGCUGCAUGGCUGUCGUCAGCUCGUGUCGUGAGAUGUUGGGUUAAGUCCCGCAACGAGCGCAACCCUUGCCAUUAGUUGCUACGAAAGGGCACUCUAAUGGGACUGCCGGUGACAAACCGGAGGAAGGUGGGGAUGACGUCAAGUCCUCAUGGCCCUUAUAGGUGGGGCUACACACGUCAUACAAUGGCUGGUACAGAGGGUUGCCAACCCGCGAGGGGUAGCUAAUCCCACAAAGCCAGUCGUAGUCCGGAUCGCAGUCUGCAACUCGACUACGUGAAGUC